rnacentral:rRNA from 1 species
UACGUAGGGUGCGAGCGUUGUCCGGAUUUACUGGGCGUAAAGAGCGUGUAGGCGGCCAGGCAGGUCUGUUGUGAAAACUGGAGGCUCAACUUCCAGACGUCGACAGAAACCGCUUGGCUAGAGUCCGGAAGAGGAGAGUGGAAUUCCUGGUGUAGCGGUGAAAUGCGUAGAGAUCCGGAAGAACACCGGUGGCGAAGGCGGUCUGCUGGGCAGUAGCUGACACUGAGGCGCGACAGCGUGGGGAGCAAACAGG